UCAGAAUGCUGGAACAUGUGAGAGACAUCUACACACAGAGGUGGAGUUCAAGAGUACUGCGCCACGACGUAACUCUCGUCAUGGGAGACCUGAAUGCCAAGGGGGUGAGCUUUGAUCCCCUGCCGAACAGGCUGAGAAAACUAACCUCCCAAGCCCUACAGUGACCUCCCAAACUCUCCAGUGAUUUUCAGAAGGUCAGGGUCAAUUGCAGGGAAGUCCCAUGCAUCUGUGCCCUCAGCAAUUCUGCCCUCUCCGCAAACUGAUGGAUAAGCUU